CACCUACUGAUGAAAUUGCCCAAACGGAAACUACUCCACUCCAGCACACUUCUCAUGACCUAUUAGUCAAUGAUGAUACUUUAGAACCCACACUAAUGCCUCCAUCUCAUGCACCAUAAACACCUCAAAAGAGACCAGAUAGUCCUCAUAUACAAGCUCAACCCACUGGACAAUCCAAUAGAGUCACAAGACCACCCACCUAUCUCCAAGACUUCCAUUGUGACCUUGUUGCAACCACGAAUAACUCAACUAAUGCAUCCACAUGUACGAAAUAUCCCUUGUCUUCUGUCAUAUCUUAUGAAAAAUGAUCUCCUAAGUAUUAAGCCUUCUGUUUGUCUAUCACUGCUAACAAUGAUCCAGCUACUUAUAAGCAAGCAUGUAAAAUUCCUUGCUGGCAAACAGCCGUGAAAGCUGAACUUAAAGCCUCG
rnacentral:lncRNA from 1 species